ensembl:lncRNA
GUGGGAGAGUUGAGGGGCUGUAGGGCUAUCAGAGAUCACUACAGAAUUAGCAGGUAACAUAUCUUAUGUAUGUGAAGUAUACUAGAUUUUCAUGUUGUGGCAUCUUUGGAAACAAACAAAAAGGCACUAUGGGAUCAAAAGUCCUUAGAAGCUAAUGAAAGAAUGGGCAUUUGACACAAAAUCAGUUGUCCCUGGAUCUGUAAUUGAAUAUUCUUCUAUUCACAGCCAUCUUGUUUGAACUUUUAUUUAUUUAUUUAUUUUGUUUAUUGUACAAAGCCAGAUAAUAGAAGAUCAUGCCUCACUACUUUUGUUGUAUAGCAUAUGUGAAGAAUGUGCAUGUCCUACAAUCAGUAAGAAGGACAUAAAAUGUGUGAAGAAUGCAUCUGUCCACAGUGGUGCCUCAUAAUCGGUUUUCAGCGGUUGUGUGAAAAUCAGCUCAGAACCUGUUUGUUUCUUCCUGUGGGUGCUCUCAGUGUUUCAAGCCCAGGGCCUCCAAGGAGUGGCAAGGCAAUGCCAGAGCGAUGAAGGCUUGUGAUUCAACCUGCCGGUGUGUGAAAGAUCCAAAGAGAUGAAAAAUGUUUCUUCCUUUCAGCCAGGUUUCCACAUCAUAGCCUUCUUGGCUGAUUUAUCAGAAACUAAAGGCAGAUCUGGCAACCUGGUCUGUGUGCAUUCCCAAUGGAUCAACUUUGCAUUAAGCCUAGAAGAAAGAGGAGGUGACAGUUGUCCUCUCUGUGCAUCAGAUCUGUAUGAGUUCUGUGACAUUAAUAGUUGCUAAAGCUUUUCAUCCACUGCUUUUUACAGGUUUAAAUUGAC